UACGUAGGGGGCGAGCGUUACCCGGAUUCACUGGGCGUAAAGGGGGCGUAGGUGGCCGUGUAAGUCCGGUGUGAAAACUCACGGCUCAACCGUGGGACUGCGCUGGAAACUACACGGCUUGAGGACGGUAGAGGGAGACGGAACUGCCGGUGUAGGGGUGAAAUCCGUAGAUAUCGGCAGGAACACCAGCGGCGAAGGCGGUUCUCUGGUUGACUUCUGACGCUGAGGCACGAAAGCUAGGGGAGCAAACAGG
rnacentral:rRNA from 1 species